AGUCUGAAUAAGAGGGAGGAAUCAGGUUUCCACUCACACAUAUGAAAUCACCUUUAAAAUACCCUGGCCCAGCUCUUCUUGUUGAAGACACCUCUGGAAUAUCCCAAAAUGGCAGGAGCCAUGGGCAAACAGGAUCUCAAGAGCGCUGAGGUACCUCCAAGCAGUUUGGCCCCAGUCCUUCACCCUGCAGCUCCAUCACCAAGGACUUACCUGCCUACACGGAGGCUGGGUUGGCACUCAGAGGUCCGUCUCAAGUGUGGAAGGAGUUCUGUGUGGGCUAUGGAAAGCAGUAUCUCUCCUGUGUCCUUUCCUGCUUGAACUUCUGUGUGCCAGCAGACAGGAGCAAGCUCAGAUUAGCUUCAUGACUGCGUAGCCAGCUAGACUUCAGAAGGCUGCAUUACUGCAUGCAAAUAAAUGUGAAAACCCUUCUGAGAUGGUACUGGAAGCUCAGUGAAUGACUGUAACACAGAAUACGUAACUCAGAGUGAGAUUCAAGAAACAGUUUGUACAGCCAUGCCAACAGCCCAAGUUUACCAUCUAAGGUCUUUUCUGCCCCGCGGGCUGGGCUGGACAAAUACAGCAGUCGCCUACAGCCGGAGCGGGGUGCUGCUGGCAGAGGAAUGCGGCCAUCCAGGUAUUGCCUUCGGUUUGCAGCCACCCUGCCCGAGUAUAAGGACUUUCCACCCAGCUCGUUUGUCUCGUGAUUUAUGCCUAAAUUGACGGAGUCCUUCGGAGGCAUUCGUGUUAAAUUUGAAACAAACAUAUUUAAUGCUUCUGUUGUAAUAAAACAGCUCAAAGAGCAGAUUAAAAAGAUAUGCACAGAGGGCUCCGAUUGAUUGAGGGAUUGAUUUUACUACUUUUCCCGUAGGUGGGUAGUGAUGGCCGUAAAUCUCUCGAUAAUCAUUUCAGAAGCACCUUCAUCAAUAAACUCGGAAGGGACAGCGAGGUGUAAAAAUGCGCCGGCCAUCGGGUCAGACAAAGGCAGCAAACGUGCAAAGAGAGAACGGAAUUAAACAAUCCCACCUUGGCCGCCUAUGGCUUUAGUCACGUCCGCUUUUAUCUCGGGGGCGGGGGAGUUCCCCACGGCUGCGAUUCUGUGAGAUUUGGGGCAGAGAGAG